rnacentral:ncRNA from 1 species
AGAACAUUUAUGAAAAAGAGAGUACUCUGUUUAGUUUGUUAUAGAGAGCCGGGAGCGGUGGAAGCCUGGCACAACUGUCAGAAGAAGCGCACUUUGGAAAUGUUUGCUUGAAAAUUCCGUAGGGCAAACCGGGACAUCCCGUUAACAGAUCAAGCGGCCUUUUAAAGGCAACAAGAGUGGUACCGCGGUAUAAUCCGUCUCUUCU